GGUUAGUGUCCUCCGACUCCCCAGUUCAUGAAAACUGCUCGAAAACCCCAAGCACAGCGCAACCGACCCAAACACCAUCACAUCAUCACCCGAACCCACAUCCUCCCCCAAUUUCUUAGCCUCCAAGAGCCUCCUCCCCAUUCCCAGUAAUACAUCAAACAUGCUACUCUUAAUCUUCCCCACCUGUCUCUUAGAAGCCGACCCUUUCUUCUCUUAUCUCUCCCUCACCUGCAAACCAUAAAGGAAGAAGCUCAAAGUUUUGGUUCUAAGCAACAUCACCACGAAUAUCGGGAAGCCGAGAUACUCUUCAUCCUCUCUUUACUACAGAAGAAUUUUGGUGAGGAACAGCUAGUUUCUCUUUCUUGAUUUUCGAUCUCCCAAAUCAAUUUUUCUUUCAGCUUGGUUCAAUAAAAUUUCAAAAACUUAGGAGAUUCAUUGUUACCGUGGAAGCUCUUGCAUGGAAAUUUCUUAACAGAUUGCAGCAUACAAUCAUUCGUGCAGGGAAAAGCAUUCUCAUAGCCAAAAAAAUUCAGAGAUGAAUUUCAAAAGAGCUGUUAUGUUGUCUAGAACAAGGCGUGUCCCUGUGGAAUAGAGAAUUAUUACAUUAUAAGCACUAAACAAUCCCUUAACUUCAUGAAGUUCUGCACCAAGGCAAGGUAUGCUUUUCUAAUUAGUUGUUGAUUUUGUACUCUCUUUAAUAGCUUUAUAGGAUUUAUUCAUAUGUGAAAGAAAAAAGAAGUGUUGUUGGUUCUCAUUGCUUUCUUGUUCAAUUGUUCCAACAUGUAUCCAUUUUUAUUUGCACAUGUAUCCAUUUUAUUUAACACAUAUGUUCAAACAGGUAUCCAUUAAGAUUUGGAGUUCCAUGUGUUGGCUCAGGGUCAGUAGAUUUCAUGAAAAGAGGUUCUGAACCGUGUUGUGAUUCCUCAUGUCUAUAGCAUUCUGCAUCCAUUUGUAGAUCAUCAUCUUGUGCCUGGCAGGAUUUGCUCUUAUUAUAAUGGCAAGAUAGAUUUUUUUUUCCAUGCAUGUAGGGUCCUCGUUAGUAUCAUUGUACAACUUAUAAUUCCUUGCACACCUCUAUAUACAAUGCACUUCAAUGUUUGGGAAUAAAGGAACGUAAUCUUUUGAGAAUUUGAGAUACUUGGCUUUCUCAUUGCUCUUUAUAUUGUUAUAGAGGUUUCUUUCAAUGGUUAGUGUUAGUUUGGGAGGGAGGACUUAGUCCCAGGUGCGCGAGUCUAUACUGCAAGUUUUGACUAAUUUUACUGACCCUGAAUUACAGCUUCUGUUUUUACAUAAAUUCUCUUGCUUCAUGUUGGUCACUGGUUUUGGUGGAAGUGAUUCCUCCACUUAGGGUUAGUGAAUUUCAUUAAAAAAGAGUCCAUUGCUUGGUCCUCAUUAAUUGCUUUUAUGGUAGAUCACAUUUGUUACUGUUUUGUGUCUGCUGAUAGGAUACAUGAGGCUGUGACUCUUUUCUUACUUACGUACUUGAUGGUUAAUUAGAUCUCCUAUUUCUUUUCUUUUCUUAUUUUUUUUUCUUCUUUCUUUGUUUUUUCCUUGCUGUGCUGGUUAAAUUCCAUGAUUUAAUUAGUGUUAUAUGUGUCUUUCAAUUUAUAUGGUUUGAGUAAUCUUAGACAUGGUAGAUUAUUUUGAUUUAUGUUUCUGUAUUCAUAUUUUAAGAGGCCAGUGCCAGUUCAGGGCUCUUUUGUCACUUCAAGAAUUCUUUUUGGUGUUUUGUUAAUUAAUGAGUACAAAUUUAUCCUGGACACGAAAACCGGACCUUUACAUAUUGGUUAUAUACUUCAAAUUACUUUUUGCUCUGCAUUCUGUUAGAUCAAGCAUAUCUCUUUUAUCUGGGUUGCAUAUUGAGUUACAGACUAGUCCACUAUGUAUUAAAUUUAACUUCUGUAAUGCAUUGAAGACUUGAUUCUUAAUUGGUUGGAGGAUCAACUUCUUGUGAUUGUGAAAUAUGUUUAGGGUAUCAAAAUCAGGGUUUACUGCGAUGAAUAUCAGUUGAGCUAUUUAUUAUAUACAACCAUGAAUAUCUAACCCAGCAGAAGAAUUGAAGUUUAGGUAGGUCCAGCAGAAGAAUUGAACUUGCCUGAUGGUCAUUUUUAUUUUUAGCAUGCUGGUUGCUUUAACUUUUGUCUAUGUGGGAUCAGACUUACAUUGAAGUCCAAAUUUUAGAUCUUGGGAUCAGACUUUUUAUUUUUAGAUGUUUUGCUUAUUACAAACUCUGAGUUUGAAAUUCUUCAGGUUGUUGACAAUAGGAGAUGCCUAUUAUCAGGAGCACUUGGAACAAUGAUUGACUAUAUGCUUCAAUAGGUCCACAUGAUUGAAGAAGGGUAAAUCUAAACUUGCACUACAUUUCGGUUACUCAUUUCCAAGCUUGACAAUGGAUUUCUGUUGUAUGGCCUUGGUUUUUUCCUUGGUACCAGUAUCUUGAUCAUUUUUGUUAUGGAAAACAAUAGGGAACCUGAUUUACUUGUUCACCAUGUUUUCUUUAUAGGAUGCAUUUCUUACCAGAUUCACUUCAUCUCUCUACUUGAAUGUCUUCAAUGGUGUGGUUAUGAACUACCCUUUCAUCUGUUAAAUGUCUUCAAUGGUGUGGUUAAGAACUACCUUAAAUUCCUUUGUUGUAUUUAGGUAACUUCUAAUAUGUUUAGGGUUAGGGAUAUGGGUUUAAUUGAUUGAUGUAAUGAGUUCUACUAAUACAUUUUCAAUUGUUACUUUGUAAAUGAAAUUAAUUAUAAUGAGGGUAAAUGAGUAUGACAUUUGAGCAAAAAGAAAUAUAUUUUUUUUGUUUGAACAUACCUCAUUUACGGCAUACAAUGUGCGCCUUAACUAAGAGU